GAUGAAGAACGUAGCGAAAUGCGAUAAGUAGUGUGAAUUGCAGAAUUCAGUGAAUCCUCGAAUCUUUGAACGCACAUUGCGCCCUUUGGUAUUCCAAAGGGCAUGCCUGUUCGAGCGUCAUUUGUACCCUCAAGCUUUGCUUGGUGUUGGGCGUCUUGUCUCUAGCUUUGCUGGAGACUCGCCUUAAAGUAAUUGGCAGCCGGCCUACUGGUUUCGGAGCGCAGCACAAGUCGCACUCUCUAUCAGCAAAGGUCUAGCAUCCAUUAAGCCUUUUUUUCAACUUUUGACCUCGGAUCAGGUAGGGAUACCCGCUGAACUUAAGCAUAUCAAUAAGCGGAGGA
rnacentral:misc_RNA from 1 species